UUUUUUUGGUUCUUGUUU
rnacentral:snRNA from 1 species